AUACGAAGGGUGCAAGCGUUACUCGGAAUUACUGGGCGUAAAGCGUGCGUAGGUGGUUGUUUAAGUCUGUCGUGAAAGCCCUGGGCUCAACCUGGGAACUGCGAUGGAAACUGGGCGACUAGAGUGUGGUAGAGGGUAGCGGAAUUCCUGGUGUAGCAGUGAAAUGCGUAGAUAUCAGGAGGAACAUCCGUGGCGAAGGCAGCUACCUGGGCCAACACUGACACUGAGGCACGAAAGCGUGGGGAGCAAACAGGAUUAGAUACCCUGGUAGUCCACGCCCUAAACGAUGCGAACUGGAUGUUGGGUGCACUUUGGCACGCAGUAUCGAAGCUAACGCGUUAAGUUCGCCGCCUGGGGAGUACGGUCGCAAGACUGAAACUCAAAGGAAUUGACGGGG
rnacentral:rRNA from 1 species